AAAUAACUGGUUGGAGGAUACUUCACCUUUCUUUGCCAAUUCAUGCAGUGGACCUACACCAUCAGCUCUUCAUGCCUACCAACUUGAAAUGCCAACUGUCUUCAAACCUGACUUGGAGGUGGUGAAUGUCACCAAUGUUUCACCGGACAUUUUGGAUUUUUCAAUCAAGACAGCUAUUCAACGAAAGUACAGUACUGUAAAGUCUGUGUGUCUUACAUCUAGUGCGUCCUUGCAUGGCACUAAAUAUACUGAGGGCAUGGUUGUAUCUUUUGGUCAGACUUGUGGGCUUCCAGACUUUGGGAAAAUAGUGAAAGUACUUAUUGUGGCACAGAAGGUGUCAUUCAUAGUCCAACAUUUCACAGCCUGGUAUGUUGAGCACCUCCGAUGCUUUGAACUGUGCAAGAGCAUUACCUCUGAAAUCUCCCUCAUAGACCCUCAGGACCUGAACGACUACUCCACUUUCGCUCUACACCAUUCGAGGAAAACAAUACAUAUCGCCAAAAGCUUUUUUACUUCACUAAGGAACCAUGCUGUUUCGUGUUAUUGCUCCAGAUGACAUCCGAAGACUGCACCGGAAAUUCUUCCUGCAACAGUGGAGGAACUGAUGAGCACACUGCGGCAAGAACUUGGCUUCGAAGGACUGUUAGUUGUACAAUUUGAGGACCCUGCUUUUGGAAAUGAACUUUGUAAUUUGACCAACAUGUCCGAUUUUCCUGAGGAGAGAGCUACGCUAAAAGUUUUCCAAAAGCAAACAUCAGAGCCAUCAUUUGAUAGUCAAAUCUCAGAUACCUCUCUCGACAUCGCAAGCUUGCCAUCAGCAUUGUCAGGAUGUUCAACACCUGUCCGUGAUAGACCAUCACUGGGUGAAAAGGCUCUGAAUCAGGGGAUAUACUGACCGGAUAUUUUUUAUGACAUGCAGCAUAUCAGGAGCAUCUUUGAUCAUAUCCUGAGUUUUUAAGAAUCAGUGAAAAUAUUGAUUUAUUUUGACUCCUGAUAUGCCAAUGAGAUAUCAGGGAUAUGCAUACCCAAAUCACAAGUCACACAAACCAUUUCUGGAUAUCUUUGGGUAGGUCUCCACCCUUGGAUAGGCUUAGGCUAUCAUAUUAGAUAGCCUAGGCCCAAGAUCUGCCUAAUUAAGUCACGCAUGCCCUACGCCCAAAACGUACCAUAAAACAUCACUGAUAGACUAUUUGCCGUUUGAUUUCUAUCUAAUUUCGGGACAUUCAAAAAUACACUAUUUACAGUGUAAAGACUACCUUUUUCAGGUCAAGGCUAGCCUACUUACCUAAU